rnacentral:piRNA from 1 species
UGCGGCAGCCCUCUGUGUUGGCUGGAAAGC